rnacentral:rRNA from 1 species
GAGGAAAAGAAACUAACAAGGAUUCCCCUAGUAACUGCGAGUGAAGCGGGAAAAGCUCAAAUUUAAAAUCUGGUAGUCUUUGGCUGCCCGAGUUGUAAUCUAGAGAAGCAUUAUCCGCGCUGGACCGUGUACAAGUGUCCUGGAAUGGACCAUCAUAGAGGGUGAGAAUCCCGUCUUUGACACGGACUACCAGGGCUUUGUGAUGUGCUCUCAAAGAGUCGAGUUGUUUGGGAAUGCAGCUCUAAAUGGGUGGUAAAUUCCAUCUAAAGCUAAAUAUUGGCGAGAGACCGAUAGCGAACAAGUACCGUGAGGGAAAGAUGAAAAGAACUUUGGAAAGAGAGUUAAACAGUACGUGAAAUUGCUGAAAGGGAAACGCUUGAAGUCAGUCGCGUUGGCUGGGGAUCAACCUUGCUUCUUGCUUGGCUUACUUCCCAGUUGACGGGUCAGCAUCAGUUUUGACCGGUGGAUAAAGGUCAGGGGAAUGUGGCACCCUCGGGUGUGUUAUAGCCUCUGGUCAUAUACAUUGGUUGGGACUG